rnacentral:lncRNA from 1 species
GAAGUGUUACUCUGUCGCCCAGGCUAGAGUGCAGCGCACAGGCGCCCGCCACCACGCCUGGCUAAUUUUUUUUUGUUUGUUUGUUUUUAGCAGAGACGGGGUUUCACCGUGUUAGCCAGGAUGGUCUCAAUCUCCUGACCUCGUGAUACGCCCGCCUCAGCCUCCUAAAGUGCUGGGAUUACAGGCGUAAGCCACCACAGCCUGCCACAAACUCACUUUUUGAAUUAAUUGUGAGAUGUUGGGCUUGAAAAUCAGGUUCAAUUUUUUUUUAAAGAGUUUUCUAUAGUUGUGAUUCUCUCAUUCAUAGGUCAAAAGGCCACACUGGCAAAGUAACAACACAGAAUUUUAUUACAGCUGCUAGAUAUGAAGACUCAGCAUAUGAUAUCGGUGACGUUAAUACCUUCCCAGGGAGAAGCGCUGUUCCUUCUGGCUGGGAAGUGCGAGCCGGUGGGGGGAGAGAGAGGAGUAGAGCAUUAUGUGGAGGUACUUCCCGGUUCCCUUGCGUCUGAGGGUCUUAUGCCAGAGGGGAUAGAAAGCCCAACAGAAACUCAAGAUAGAAGAAGGAGAAUCUGCGAGUGUCUGUCUCCUGUCAAGCUUCCCUAAUACAGCCCUGGUAGAACUUCAUCAACAGUGGAAGGCAUUUGCAAAGAGAUGUCAUCCUGGGGAUGAGAAGGAGGAAGACAGAGAAACGCAGAAAAGCCUAAGCAGGCACCACAAAGAGACCGAGCCCGUCUGAAAGAGGCUGCUCUAACCUGGUGGAAACUAUUUUAAGUUGCCACCAGACAUUACAUUCCAGAGCCUUGAGAAAAACUGAUGAAAAAAAAGUCAUGAAAAAAAGUCAUUCGCACAAGUGACACCAUGGUGUGAAGUCAAGGAGCACAGACUCUGGAGUCAGAGGGCUUGAGUCAACCUGAGCAUCUUCAGCUUUGACUGUGAAGACACAGCUUUGACUCUCUGUGUUGCAGAGAUGGUAGUGCCCACUCCAGUGACGCUUGUGAGGAUUAGUUGAGAUAAUAAAUACAAAAUGCUGAGCAUCAAACCUAGAGUAGAGAAAGGUCUCAACCUGGCUAAUGUUAUCCAGACAUAUCUGAAACCUCAUGAGUGGCAUGGAAUGGCAGUCCCUGCUUGAACCAUUUACCUCCUUUCCUAACACCAACAAUCACACACACCUGACACUGACCUGAAGCCUCUGGCCUGUCCUCGGAGGCAAAGACUGGGUAGACAAGAUGCCUGGUUACCAGCAAUCUUCUGCAAUUUCCUCUGAGCUAUUGAGAUUGCUUUUCUCUUUGCUCAAAUUAUGUGAGAAACUUUUAAAAAAGAAUUUAAUGUGCUCUUUUGAUAUUUCAGGUGUUCAUUCAAAAGCCUAUGUUAUUCUCUGUCUCUCUGUCUCUUUUCCUAGUUGGGUAAUCAAAAUGGCACAAUCAGAAAUAUUUAUAUCUGCAACAGAAAAGAAGAAUAAAUUUAUUCAUGCACAAGUACAUUAUGUACAUAUAUAUGUUUGUGUAUACAUAUAUCUGUAUAAUUGAUAUAUUUGGGAGAAAUAAAAGGUUUCAUUAAGCACACAAGUUCUAGAGUUAGACCCUCUGUCGCAAAUUACUGUCCUGUCACUUAACUCCUGCCAGAACAAAGUGCAUACUUGAACAAAAUGCCUGCUCUGUAAAAAUGCCUUGAUCUUGAAUAAAAUGCCUGCUAGGUCAAAGCUUCUAUUUUCCCACCUAGAAAAUGGGAACAAUAAUAAGAAUCCUCACUUAAUAGAUAAUGGAAAAAGUUGCUUGCAGCACAGAGCCUGCUACAGACAAUGCCUUCAAUUAAUGCAAACUAUUAAUAUUAUGAAAAGUGAGUAUCUGUUUUCUGACAAUGUUUUCAAUAAUAUAAAUUCUGCCUUUGUUCACUUUAUUUGUUUGAAAAAACAAAUAAAAAACCAAACAAAAAAGUGUCUUAAAAGUGUCCAUUUGUCUUUCUUCUUGACUCCUAGUAACGCUUUCCUGUGUUUAGGGAAUUUUCACCUCAUGGGUUUUGGUGAGUGAAUGAAUUCAUCUCCCUCUACAGAAAAGAAGAAUGCCUGAUGCAUUUUCUCAGCCUUUAUUCCAGGUAGUCAGGUAGACUAUGGAC